UACGUAGGGGGCUAGCGUUGUCCGGAAUCAUUGGGCGUAAAGAGCGUGUAGGCGGCCCGGUAAGUCCGCUGUGAAAGUCGGGGGCUCAACCCUCGGAUGCCGGUGGAUACUGUCGGGCUCGAGUACGGAAGAGGCGAGUGGAAUUCCUGGUGUAGCGGUGAAAUGCGCAGAUAUCAGGAGGAACACCUAUUGCGAAGGCAGCUCGCUGGGACGUUACUGACGCUGAGACGCGAAAGCGUGGGGAGCAAACAGG
rnacentral:rRNA from 1 species